AAAUUGAAGAGUUUGAUCAUGGCUCAGAUUGAACGCUGGCGGCAGGCCUAACACAUGCAAGUCGAACGGUAACAGGAAGCAGCUUGCUGCUUUGCUGACGAGUGGCGGACGGGUGAGUAAUGUCUGGGAAACUGCCUGAUGGAGGGGGAUAACUACUGGAAACGGUGGCUAAUACCGCAUAACGUCGCAAGACCAAAGAGGGGGACCUUCGGGCCUCUUGCCAUCAGAUGUGCCCAGAUGGGAUUAGCUAGUUGGUGAGGUAACGGCUCACCAAGGCGACGAUCCCUAGCUGGUCUGAGAGGAUGACCAGCCACACUGGAACUGAGACACGGUCCAGACUCCUACGGGAGGCAGCAGUGGGGAAUAUUGCACAAUGGGCGCAAGCCUGAUGCAGCCAUGCCGCGUGUAUGAAGAAGGCCUUCGGGUUGUAAAGUACUUUCAGCGGGGAGGAAGGUGUUGUGGUUAAUAACCGCAGCAAUUGACGUUACCCGCAGAAGAAGCACCGGCUAACUCCGUGCCAGCAGCCGCGGUAAUACGGAGGGUGCAAGCGUUAAUCGGAAUUACUGGGCGUAAAGCGCACGCAGGCGGUCUGUCAAGUCGGAUGUGAAAUCCCCGGGCUCAACCUCGGGAACUGCAUUCGAAACUGGCAGGCUUGAGUCUUGUAGAGGGGGUAGAAUUCCGGUGUAGCGGUGAAAUGCGUAGAGAUCUGGAGGAAUACCGGUGGCGAAGGCGGCCCCCUGGACAAAGACUGACGCUCAGGUGCGAAAGCGUGGGGAGCAAACAGGAUUAGAUACCCUGGUAGUCCACGCCGUAAACGAUGUCUACUUGGAGGUUGUGCCCUUGAGGCGUGGCUUCCGGAGCUAACGCGUUAAGUAGACCGCCCGGGAGUACGGCCGCAAGGUUAAAACUCAAAUGAAUUGACGGGGGCCCGCACAAGCGGUGGAGCAUGUGGUUUAAUUCGAUGCAACGCGAAGAACCUUACCUGGUCUUGACAUCCACAGAACUUUCCAGAGAUGGAUUGGUGCCUUCGGGAACUGUGAGACAGGUGCUGCAUGGCUGUCGUCAGCUCGUGUUGUGAAAUGUUGGGUUAAGUCCCGCAACGAGCGCAACCCUUAUCCUUUGUUGCCAGCGGUCCGGCCGGGAACUCAAAGGAGACUGCCAGUGAUAAACUGGAGGAAGGUGGGGAUGACGUCAAGUCAUCAUGGCCCUUACGACCAGGGCUACACACGUGCUACAAUGGCGCAUACAAAGAGAAGCGACCUCGCGAGAGCAAGCGGACCUCAUAAAGUGCGUCGUAGUCCGGAUUGGAGUCUGCAACUCGACUCCAUGAAGUCGGAAUCGCUAGUAAUCGUGGAUCAGAAUGCCACGGUGAAUACGUUCCCGGGCCUUGUACACACCGCCCGUCACACCAUGGGAGUGGGUUGCAAAAGAAGUAGGUAGCUUAACCUUCGGGAGGGCGCUUACCACUUUGUGAUUCAUGACUGGGGUGAAGUCGUAACAAGGUAACCGUAGGGGAACCUGCGGUUGGAUCACCUCCUUA
rnacentral:rRNA from 1 species